CACAUCCAAGGAAGGCAGCAGGCACGCAAAUUACCCAAUCCCAGCUCUGGGAGGUAGUGACGAAAAAUAACAAUGCGGGACUCUUCCGAGUCUGCGUAAUUGGAAUGAGCACACUUUAAAUCCUUUAGCAACAACCAAUUGGAGGGCAAGUCUGGUGCCAGCAGCCGCGGUAAUUCCAGCUCCAAUAGCGUAUAUUAAAGUUGUUGCGGUUAAAAAGCUCGUAGUUCGAUUUGAGUUGCGGACUGGUGUGGGAGGUCACCGCCCGGUGCUUGCCCGCCAGGUUCCGAACAGCUUCCGUGAGUGGAAGCCAAGCCGGUUCUGCCGGGGUGCUCUUUACCGAGUGUCCCGUGCGGCCGGCCAGUUCACCUUGAAUAAAUGAGAGUGCUCAAAGCAGGCUACUCUGGAAUACAAUGCCCGAAUGUUAGCUGCAUGGAAUGAUGGAAGAUGAUCUCGGUUGCAUUUUGUUGGUGGUGGCAGCCAGAGGUAAUGAUAAAGAGGGACUGUCGGGGGCAUCCGUACUACGACGCGAGAGGUGAAAUUCAGUGACCGUCGUAGGACGAACAACAGCGAAAGCAUUUGCCAAGAAUGUCUUCGUUGAUCAAGAACGAAAGUUAGAGGAUCGAAGGCGAUCAGAUACCGCCCUAGUUCUAACCCUAAACGAUGCUGACUAGCAAUUCGCCGUCGUUAUUCCCAUGACGUGGCGAGACGCCCCCGGGAAACCUCAAGUCUUUGAGUUCCGGGGGUAGUAUGGUUGCAAAAGUGAAACUUAAAGGAAUUGACGGAAGGGCACCACCAGGAGUGGAGCCUGCGGCUUAAUUUGACUCAACACGGGGAAGCUCACCAGGCCCGGACACCAGAAGGAUUGACAGAUUAAGAGCUCUUUCUCGAUUUGGUGGGUGGUGGUGCAUGGCCGUUCUUAGUUGGUGGAGUGAUUUGUCUGGUUAAUUC
rnacentral:rRNA from 1 species